GAGAGAGAGAUAGACGGCGGUGCGGCAGAGUUGCGUCAGCGCUGCGGAGGAGGGAGCGAGCCGUUGACAUCGCCCAUCCGGGCCGCAGCAGAGAACCAGGGGGUCUCCGCUAGCCUAAGGUGAAGCUAGGCGUCGCCUCCCGCCGUCUUGGACGUGGAUCUCGGGUCUGCCACGGCUUCUCGGAGCCACCCAGCGCAGGCAGCUCGGAUGAUCCAUCAAAAUAAACAGCCGGAGGGGAAAGAGCUGGAGUCGUGGACCUUACUCCAGCCUAGUCCAGCCCCGAGCCCGCGGAAGCAGCAGAGGAAGAUGCUGAUGUCGCUGCCCACGCUGACAGUCCUAGUGCCUCUCAUCUCUCUGGCUGGCCUGAUCUACUCGGCCUCCGUGGAUGAGAAUUUCCCUCAUGGCUGCACCAGUACGACCAGCCUGUGCUUUUACAGUCUUCUCCUGCCGAUUAUCCUGCCGCUUUGCGUGAUCCUCUACCUCUGGACCUGGACACAGAAUUAAUGCAAUCCGAGCCUCCCACCCCCAUCCCACCCCACCUCCCCGAGAGCAUUUACAUAGCAGGGCCUGUUGUCUACAUUUAAACAAGAAAACGAUCUCUUAUUUCAUUCCACUUAACUCUUAAUAGACUGGAAUGAUCUCUUUUUCAUUCUUCUAGGGAACUAAGGUUUUCAUCCCUCUCAGAUUCAGGAGUAAGGAUCGUUCAAACGCGCUCAUUUUCAUCCUGCCUUCUUGUUCCCGAGCUGGGGGUGGGGGGCGAUGGGGGGUGGGGGCGGGGAGUCCCGACUUACUCUUUUCUUUAAAAUAUUCACCUGUACCUUGAUCUGUGGAAGUGCUUGAUUUUUAGUUCUGAUUAUACUCCACUUAAAGUUAAAUAGAUUUGCCAAAAGGUUUUUUGAUUAUUUUCGUUCCUAGGCCUUUGCAAUGGAAGAAAAUUAUAAAGAUAAAUCUUUUCAAAGACCCUAUACCAAAUAAUUUACUCGUUUAAAUAGUUUCAGAUGAAUUUAUUUGGAUUAGCAUUCAUGCAAAAUCUUACAAUAAAAUGGAAACUGAUGUGUGUAGAAGAAAAAAAAAAACAGAGGAGGCGGGAGAAAUUAGAGGUGAUGUACCCUGGCACAAGGCAGACCUGAAAUUCAAUUAAAACAGGAUGUUCCUAAAAGUAGAAGCAUUCCAAAUUCACCUCAGUUUUGAUUCCCAAAGAGCAGGAAUAUCAAACUUGUGAUUUUUCACCAUACACUAAAAGGUUUGCCAGAGAUUAGAAUCUCCAGUAUGGGCCCUAAGAAAAGCCUUGUAGAGGAGCCUUGUUUUAGGAAAGCCUUGUAAAGAGUUGACAGAAAUUUGAGACCUCAUUGAGAACAGGAAAGCUGAUAGGCCUGUAAAGAUGUGACGUUCCUUUGGAGGAAUGCUUAUUUCUUCCCCAAGAACUUAGUGCUUAGAUUUCUAACCAUUUCUAAGCUUGAUGUUGAAGAUUCGUUUCUUAUGGAUGUUUAAAAGUAGCUGGAAUAAUUUUUUGAACUUUGAAAUUGAGCUAUUUUAAGUACAGAUUUGUAUUAGGCUUAAUAAAUUAAUUAGGGAAAAUUGUUAUUUACAGCAUGGCUGAUCUGUGCUCUGAACAGACACUAUUGGAGCCAGAGUUUUGUAGUUCAUUCUGAGAGUUAAAGUGAGAAUGGCUCAGUCUGGCUUGUCUCUGAAUGCCACAAGGAUAAAAGGCAAAAUUGUGAAAGUAUUGGAAAAAUCAUUUGGAGAUGCAUUCAACUGGAUCAGUGCUUUGGGGAUAAGUUUUGUUUUGUGUUUUAUGCUCUAAGUUCAUAAUAUUGUUUUAUGUUAGUGUUGUGCUGUUGUGUUUCUUGCAUUGUGAUUUGAUUCUUUGCAUUGUCAUUAGAUUACGUAGAAGCACUGUUGGUUUGUGGAAUGGUUUCCAGGGUGUGAUACAUUUGUAUCCUUAGGAGGUUUGCUCAUCUCUUCAUCACAAUGCUUGAUUUUAUGACUUUAAGCUAUCACUUAUUAGCAAGUCCUGUCUAGAAGGCAGAUUGCUCUUCUGGUUAAAAAUGGUCUUAAAUGUAUCUUCUGGGUUGUCAAAGUUAAAAUGCUACCUUGGGAAGACUCACUGUGAGAAGUUCUAUCUACUGGCCAGCCCCUCUGAAUCUUCUGUCUUGGUAAGGUUAUAAAAGCUCAUCAGCUCUGUUACCAAAGAGGAUGCAGGAAGGGUUUUGUAAAUCCUACCCUGACACUAAAGCUCAGAGAGGAACCAACUCUCUCCACCAAACCAUACACUAGGCACACCUCUCCACCUCUCUCUCUCUCUCUCUCUCUCUCUCUCUCUCCCCCACUUCCUCCCCCCCCCACAUACACUCUAAUGGGGGGAUUACUUAAAUGUUGGCUUGUAAUGUGGUGAAUUGUCUGAGUAUUGAUUAUUAUGUAAUGUAUGGAAAAUCACCAGAUAAAAUUGUUACUUAAUUGGUAUAUAUCAGUGUUACAUCUUUGAGUCCACUUUGGAUCAACAGACCCAAGUUUCAAGGAUUUUCCUUUUACCAUAGGGGUUGAUAAUCAGUGCAUCCAGGCUAACUGUAACCAGGGUCUUUUUGGGUUUGAGUACAUUCACUUUAUGAGUAAAAUCCCCAAAUGUGAUUAUUUUCUAAAUUUCUAAUUAUCUUUUUUUGCAUCAAAAUGUAUUAAACUAGAGGGAACCUAGAAAAGUUUUGGAAAAAAAACUUUGUAUGUGCUUAAUAAGCACUAAGGAUAAAUGUUUUUAUUGUUGUUUAUUGUGAACUUACUGAUAUUGCUAUCAGCUUGAAGAACAACUGUGUCCUGCCCUAAGCUAUAAGCAAUAGAAUUUACUAUAUGAGAUGAAACCUCUGAGGAUGAUAAUUUGAUUUCCUCCAAUCUGGAUAUAACUGUUUGAGUGAUUGUUAAGCUAGUAAUCCACCAUCCAAGGAAAAUGCCAAGAGCUGCUCAAAAGGAGUGUGAUCUCCAUGUGUUGCAGGUGGAUGUAAAUUGUUGGGAAAGUUGAGAGGACAGCCUUAUAAAAGUAAUGGUAGGACCUUCUUGACUCAGUUUCCCCACUAUGCUAUUUCCUCUCUGAGCAGGAAAGUUUCCCAGCUGUUAGAAUAUGAAUCCAGCUAUCAGACCCUUUGAAGAGUGUGGGAGUUUAAUGCACAAUUGGCUGUUCCCAAAAGGUAUUUUUUACUUUUACCUGAAAUCAAGCAAAACUUGUCCUCUUGCCCUCAUUAUCAAUCUAUCAAUCUGUGACUUUAGACUGACCCCGAUGGGACAGUCUUGAUGUUGUUUCCAUCUUAUCCCUCCUUCUGCUUUCAUAGUAAAUUUCUCUAACCAUGGCAAAAGAACUGCAAAGGUUUUAUAAUGAAUCUCAUUGUUCCAAUCAUCAGACUUCUCCGAGUAGAUGUAAAAGACCCUAUUGCUUGUCUAUGCUGUUCUGACUGUGGAUAUCACUUGUCUCACCUUCCUGACCUAGACCAUUAUCUCACUGGUUUAAUAGUUGUAUAUUUAUGCAUAAGAUUAUGUUUUUAGAGACUCACUUUCUUUCUGUCCAAGUGACCCUUCCCUUUCCCAUUCAUUACCUGAAGCUAAGAUAUGAGGUUGCAAUAUAAUCUCCAAAGGGGGAGAAGUGAUGAAAGACAUAUAAAGGCUAGAAUUCUUAAUGGAGUAGUAAACAUUACCCUGAGGAAGGCAGCAUGAUUAGACUAUUUCCGCUGAGGACUGGGACAUACGUGAUUGGUUUCCAAUGUCUCCCAAUGGGUGUUAAAUAUACCAAAAGAGUUCAUCUUAGAUGCAAUUGUACUCGAAGCUUUAGAGCUUCUGCUCUGUUAUGCCGGUGAAAACAAUGGCAAAAGACUAAAUGAAGACAGUGGUCCUAAAACGAUAUAUUUUAUAUUUGACUCUGGAGGUAAGAACAAGACUGAAAAAGGUGGAGCCUAGAAUUGAACCUUCUCCAGAAGGACCUUCUGGAGGUCCAGUAUUUGAACAGCCCCAGAUGGAUUUCAUGCAAAUGCCUAAAACCAAGAGUAUAUGUUUAGUAAUUGUCCAUAAAUUCUCAAGUUGGAUUGAGGCUUUCAUUUGGAAAAAUUUCCUAGCAGUUGUUUUAAAUAAACUGUCCAUUGCUAGUUUUUCCUGUUUGGGGGACAUACUUUACAGGUCUGGUCCUCAAUGAUCUUUUUAAAAUGCUUCCUCCAACCUUAUAAACAUUGUUGUCGAUAUCGUCUAAAAGUCUUGGGAAAGGUAGAAAGAGCAAAUGGUAUGUGAAAAUUAAAACACAAAUGAAUUGCAGGUAUGCUGGGUCUGAUGUUCUUCCUAUAGCCUUGAUAAUUAUAAGGUUAAUACCAUAAGGUUUGCACAGGCUUUCACCUCAUGGACUAACUACAGGAAGACAAUGUGAUUAAGUUUGGUCAGACCUUACUAAUUAUAUUAAGUCAUAUCACUAGCAGGUAUGAGCAGCAUUACCCAGGAAACCAUCAUGGAAGACAUUGCCUAUUGAAGCCAGGAAAAUGAAUCUUCUGGAAGAAAUACCUCUUCAAAUCUGCUCUGGAAACAAGGUAGAAAGGUCCGUCCCAGGAACUGUUACCAAUUGAUGCUGAAAUUGAAAAGUUCAAGGUGUUAAUUCAUGGAUAUAUGUCUCUCAGGAUCAAAAUGAACCCCUUGUGGACAGUGGUCCAAGACAGAACCUUUUGACUGAGAAUUAGCAGGGGAAAAGAAGCAGACUAUUUCACAAAGUAAAGGAUUGUAUUGUAUAACUGGA